AACGAACGCUGGCGGCAUGCCUAACACAUGCAAGUCGAACGAUGCCUUCGGGCAUAGUGGCGCACGGGUGCGUAACGCGUGGGAAUCUGCCUUUCGGUUCGGAAUAACUCAGGGAAACUUGAGCUAAUACCGGAUAACGUCGCAAGACCAAAGAUUUAUCACCGAAAGAUGAGCCCGCGUAGGAUUAGCUAGUUGGUGAGGUAAAGGCUCACCAAGGCGACGAUCCUUAGCUGGUCUGAGAGGAUGAUCAGCCACACUGGGACUGAGACACGGCCCAGACUCCUACGGGAGGAAGCAGUGGGGAAUAUUGGACAAUGGGCGAAAGCCUGAUCCAGCAAUGCCGCGUGAGUGAUGAAGGCCUUAGGGUUGUAAAGCUCUUUUACCCGGGAAGAUAAUGACGGUACCGGGAGAAUAAGCCCCGGCUAACUCCGUG
rnacentral:rRNA from 1 species